rnacentral:miRNA from 1 species
AUCCCCCUGGUAUUUUGUUAAAAUACAGAUUCUGGUUCAGUAGGAAUGAGGUGAGGCCUGAGGUUCUGCAUUUCUAACAAGCUCCCAGGGGAUAC